rnacentral:ribozyme from 1 species
GGCCUUCUGAUACCUAUCCCUACCUCCUCGUGGUACCGGUCGGAAACUACGAGCAACCUUAGGGAAGAUCGGGUAACCAACCCCGGUGGGAACUUUGAUCGUAGGCUGACAGGGAAGG